UCAUAAGGUCUGACUCAAAGCUCAUUGAAGUCAAUGGGAGUCUUUCCAUUGACUGCAGUGGGCUUUGGAUCAGACCUGAAUUGA
rnacentral:pre_miRNA from 1 species